rnacentral:rRNA from 1 species
GGAGGAUCCAAGCGUUAUCCGGAAUCAUUGGGUUUAAAGGGUCCGUAGGCGGGUUUAUAAGUCAGUGGUGAAAGCCCAUCGCUCAACGAUGGAACGGCCAUUGAUACUGUAGAUCUUGAAUUAUUAGGAAGUAACUAGAAUAUGUAGUGUAGCGGUGAAAUGCUUAGAGAUUACAUGGAAUACCAAUUGCGAAGGCAGGUUACUACUAAUGGAUUGACGCUGAUGGACGAAAGCGUGGGUAGCGAACAGGAUUAGAUACCCUGGUAGUCCACGCCGUAAACGAUGGAUACUAGCUGUUCGGAGCAAUCUGAGUGGCUAAGSGAAAGUGAUAAGUAUCCCACCUGGGGAGUACGUUCGCAAGA